UUUAAUUGAAGAGUUUGAUCAUGGCUCAGAUUGAACGCUGGCGGCAGGCCUAACACAUGCAAGUCGAGCGGCAGCGGAAAGUAGCUUGCUACUUUGCCGGCGAGCGGCGGACGGGUGAGUAAUGUCUGGGAAACUGCCCGAUGGAGGGGGAUAACUACUGGAAACGGUGGCUAAUACCGCAUAACGUCUUCGGACCAAAGUGGGGGACCUUCGGGCCUCACACCAUCGGAUGUGCCCAGAUGGGAUUAGCUAGUAGGUGGGGUAAUGGCUCACCUAGGCGACGAUCCCUAGCUGGUCUGAGAGGAUGACCAGCCACACUGGGACUGAGACACGGCCCAGACUCCUACGGGAGGCAGCAGUGGGGAAUAUUGCACAAUGGGCGCAAGCCUGAUGCAGCCAUGCCGCGUGUGUGAAGAAGGCCUUAGGGUUGUAAAGCACUUUCAGUAGGGAGGAAGGCAGUCGUGUUAAUAGCACGGUUGAUUGACGUUACCUACA
rnacentral:rRNA from 1 species